GCCAGACGGCAGCACGCGGUGCAGUGUUUACGGAAGUCAACCCGGAAGUAGACACGCUUCAAUUCUGGCGGUCUCCGUACCGGCACAUUUGUGGCAAUUUCAAGGAUUCUGUGCAGUUAAUGUCAACAUUUUCUUCAUCGCGGAGAAGAUUAUGAACGAAGAUGUCUCCUGCAGUUUUGGGGACAUUUGCCUCAAUGUCUGCUCUGAUGAGGUGAUGGCGACCAGCUGUGGAACUUUGAUUGAGUUUCGUAAAUUCACCCAAGACGUCACCGUGGAGUUAUUGAGUCUUUUUUAGCUGAUUGGAGAGCUGGAUUUCGCAGCCAUGACGAUGACUUCUGUUUUGGUUGAUCAGCCGUUUUACUGCCGUGGAAACAAUUAAGCUGCCUCCCUUGACGCCUCCUGGCACCUCCAAGGGGAAGUCCGCCGCACACUUUGAAAACCUCGGCUAAAGAACGUGUCACUCGGGCGAGUCCUGU